rnacentral:rRNA from 1 species
GAUGAACGCUGGCGGCGUGCCUAAUACAUGCAAGUCGAGCGAACAGAUAAGGAGCUUGCUCCUUUGACGUUAGCGGCGGACGGGUGAGUAACACGUGGAUAACCUACCUAUAAGACUGGGAUAACUUCGGGAAACCGGAGCUAAUACCGGAUAACAUAUUGAACCGCAUGGUUCAAUAGUGAAAGGCGGCUUUGCUGUCACUUAUAGAUGGAUCCGCGCCGUAUUAGCUAGUUGGUAAGGUAACGGCUUACCAAGGCAACGAUACGUAGCCGACCUGAGAGUGUGAUCGGCCACACUGGAACUGAGACACGGUCCAGACUCCUACGGGAGGCAGCAGUAGGGAAUCUUCCGCAAUGGGCGAAAGCCUGACGGAGCAACGCCGCGUGAGUGAUGAAGGUCUUCGGAUCGUAAAACUCUGUUAUCAGGGAAGAACAAAUGUGUAAGUAACUGUGCACAUCUUGACGGGACCUGAUCAGAAAGCCACGGCUAACUACGU